GAACGCACAUUGCGCUUCCUGGUAUUCCGGGGAGCAUGCUCGUUUCAGAAUCAUUUAAAACUCACAAUCCUUUUGCGCUUUGCGGCGCUUGGGGGGCGUGGAUGUGAGCGUAUUUUUCUUUGCAAAAAGAAAAUCGCUUUGAAAUGAUUGUGUGUACGUCGAUACUUAUCGGUCGAAAUGCUCAGUGCAACAGAUAAUGGAACACUUUGUUGAUCAGCUGGUAUGGAAACGUAUGCAAUUCCAAUAAACACAGAUCUGAUUGCAAGUUUUGUGAUCAGCUCUGACAACUUGGUCUGAAAUCGAGCAAGAAAACCCGCUGAACUUAAG
rnacentral:misc_RNA from 1 species